AGUUUCAUACCUAGGAGAAGCUGAUGAUCGCUUAGUGAACUGAUGCUUUCGGUAAACACACUUACUUCUCCUACACCGAGAAGCGCCCAUAAACACUCAUGCCUUCUUCUCAUUAAUGCGAAAGUGAGACCUGAGGAGACUGCUGUUUAAAUGGGAGGUCGGAAGUUGAGAGAGCAAGUCAGGACAUACGUUCCUCUGGCAUAUAAUCCUGGGCUUUUAUUUAAUUUAAUGUUUUUUAUUUUAACCGUAACUGGUUAUUUCAAUUAAUUCUAAAUCGUUGGCUCCUUUUUUUUCUUAAGUGAGAGAAGCCCCCUUCUCAGUAAAACUUUCCCAUAUAAGAAAACUGACUUUAAAUGACACAGUGGGGACAGCUAUGUCACCCCAGGGCCCUUACUUUGCCUGUGUAGUGACCAUUUGGCCACCCCCUAGAGAGCAUCCUGCUAUCUCUCUUUCAAAAUAAAUUGUUUCUGGAAAGUGCCCUCCUUAUCAAGAUCCUUUUACUGUGAGAUACUUGCCCAAGAAGCUGUGAUCGAGUGGAAAAUUAAAACUCCCAACUGUUGUGUGAGAGAAAGCCUUUACACAAUCGUGUAUAUGCAUUCCUAAGUCCUUGCAGAGAAAAUAAGAAUCAAAUUACAUCCAUUGUAUGACAUUUUCUUCCCCUCCUUUGAACACUGCUUGCUUAUCACCAGGGCCAGUAUCCCGUCAUCACUGUAUUCACGACAAAGCCAGUCCAUCUGAAAAGAGAAGAGCUGGACACCCAUUCCAGUUACUUUGAAGAAGAUUUCUUUUUAGGUAGAAUAAAUAAAAGUAGUGUCACCAGAGUCUCCCUGUGCCAUUGAACACUGGUUCUAUUGCUUAAGUACCAGGAGACAGAGUUUCACAUUUGUUGACUUAGUCAUUAUCGUCUUUGUGUUAUCUGGAACAGCACUGACCAACCAAGGAAAGGGCUCCAUUAAUAAAGUACUUACUGUGCGAUCCUGAGGAAGGGAAUUUGAUUCUCCAAAAUGCUCUCUAAAGCCAGAUGUGGCGGCCGUGUCCCUGCCACGAAAAGAGCCAGAAACCACUGAGUACACAGAAACUCCAGAGCCACCUGGGUUGGAAUACGCAGCAGUAAACAACAAGAGACCCUGCCUCAAACGUGAUAGAAGACAAGAACUAAAACCCAUACAUGCCGUGACACUUGUGUGCCUCUAUCACGUACAAAUACACAUGUGCAUGUGCGUACACGCACAACAAGCAUGAGCAAACACACUUU
rnacentral:lncRNA from 1 species